rnacentral:rRNA from 1 species
AGAGUUUGAUCCUGGCUCAGAACGGACGCUGGCGGCAGGCUUAACACAUGCAAGUCGAACGCCCCGCAAGGGGAGUGGCAGACGGGUGAGUAACGCGUGGGAAUCUACCGUGCCCUACGGAAUAACGCAUGGAAACGUGUGCUAAUACCGUAUACGCCCUUAGGGGGAAAGAUUUAUCGGGGUAUGAUGAGCCCGCGUUGGAUUAGCUAGUUGGUGGGGUAAAGGCCUACCAAGGCGACGAUCCAUAGCUGGUCUGAGAGGAUGAUCAGCCACAUUGGGACUGAGACACGGCCCAAACUCCUACGGGAGGCAGCAGUGGGGAAUAUUGGACAAUGGGCGCAAGCCUGAUCCAGCCAUGCCGCGUGAGUGAUGAAGGUCUUAGGAUUGUAAAGCUCUUUCACCGAUGAAGAUAAUGACGGAAGUCGGAGAAGAAGCCCCGGCUAACUUCGUGCCAGCAGCCGCGGUAAUACGAAGGGGGCUAGCGUUGUUCGGAAUUACUGGGCGUAAAGCGCACGUAGGCGGAUAUUUAAGUCAGGGGUGAAAUCCCGCAGCUCAACUGCGGAACUGCCUUUGAUACUGGGUAUCUCGAGUAUGGAAGAGGUGAGUGGAAUUCCGAGUGUAGAGGUGAAAUUCGUAGAUAUUCGGAGGAACACCAGUGGCGAAGGCGGCUCACUGGUCCAUUACUGACGCUGAGUGCGAAGCGUGGGGAGCAAACAGGAUUAGAUACCCUGUAGUCCACGCCGUAAACGAUGAAUGUUACCGUCGGGCACUUGCUUGUCGGUGGCCAACU